UACGGAGGGUGCAAACGUUGCUCGGAAUCAUUGGGCGUAAAUCGCACGUAGGCGGUUCGGUAAGUCGGGUGUGAAAGCCCUCGGCUCAACUGAGGAAGUGCAUUCGAAACUACCGGACUUGAGUAUGGAAGAGGGUCGCGGAAUUCCCGGUGUAGAGGUGAAAUUCGUAGAUAUCGGGAGGAACACCAGUGGCGAAGGCGGCGACCUGGGCCAAUACUGACGCUGAGGUGCGAAAGCGUGGGGAGCAAACAGG
rnacentral:rRNA from 1 species